AUUACAUAACAACAUUAUUAUUAUUGCAAAUUCGUAUACAGAAAUGGCAAAAUCCUACACCAUAUUUGUUGCUUUUCUUUUCUGCUUCCUCAUAGCGACACCCACCGAGAGUAAAGUAGGUGAAGAAAAGGUGUGCGGAACGCUAAGCAAAACGUACCCCGGUUGGUGUGAUGGUGGCGAGUGUGAUCUCCGUUGCCGGACUAUUGAAGGCGCCGUUUCCGGCUCAUGUCACUGGCAUGACUUUGGAAUGGCUUGCUUCUGCUAUUUCAAUUGCUGAUCACCACUUCUGAUCUAUAUAUGCAUGCGUCAAUAUAAUGUCACUCAUCAUCAUCUCAUCUGCAAUAAUAACAAUAAUAAUCCCUCAAAGUAUGACCGAAUAAUACUGCAUGCUGCCUACCCAAUUACAUUGUAUUACAAUCAAUUCUCUGCUGCCUAAUUAUUGUAUUACAAUGAAUUGUACUUUGCAGAAAAAAAUAAAAUAAUAUAAUAAUCCCUCAAAGUGUGUCCA